rnacentral:rRNA from 1 species
GACGAACGCUGGCGGCGUGCUUAACACAUGCAAGUCGUACGGUAAGGCCCUUUCGGGGGUACACGAGUGGCGAACGGGUGCGUAACACGUGAGUAACCUGCCCACAACUUUGGGAUAACGCUAGGAAACUGGUGCUAAUACUGGAUAUGUGCUCCUGCUGCAUGGUGGGGGUUGGAAAGCUCCGGCGGUUGUGGAUGGACUCGCGGCCUAUCAGCUUGUUGGUGGGGUAGUGGCCUACCAAGGCGGCGACGGGUAGCCAGCCUGAGAGGGUGACCGGCCACAUUGGGACUGAGAGACGGCCCAGACUCCGACGGGAGGCAGCAGUGGGGAAUAUUGCACAAUGGGCGCAAGCCUGAUGCAGCAACGCCGCGUGCGGGAUGACGGCCUUCGGGUUGUAAACCGCUUUCAGCAGGGACGAAGCUUUUUGUGACGGUACCUGCAGAAGAAGCACCGGCUAACUACGUG